rnacentral:rRNA from 1 species
GACGAACGCUGGCGGCGUGCUUAACACAUGCAAGUCGAACGGAAAGGCCCUGCUUUUGUGGGGUGCUCGAGUGGCGAACGGGUGAGUAACACGUGAGUAACCUGCCCUUGACUUUGGGAUAACUUCAGGAAACUGGGGCUAAUACCGGAUAGGAGCUCCUGCUGCAUGGUGGGGGUUGGAAAGUUUCGGCGGUUGGGGAUGGACUCGCGGCUUAUCAGCUUGUUGGUGGGGUAGUGGCUUACCAAGGCUUUGACGGGUAGCCGGCCUGAGAGGGUGACCGGCCACAUUGGGACUGAGAUACGGCCCAGACUCCUACGGGAGGCAGCAGUGGGGAAUAUUGCACAAUGGGCGGAAGCCUGAUGCAGCAACGCCGCGUGCGGGAUGACGGCCUUCGGGUGGUAAACCGAUUUCGCCUGUGACGAAGCGUGAGUGACGGUAAUGGGUAAAGAAGCACCGGCUACUACGUG